ensembl:lncRNA
CUCUUGGCUAGCAUCUAACACCUUUGGGUAUAGACUUAAAAAGGAGCAGCUUUGUGGGCUGUAAUUAAGACUCUGGAAAGGACUUUUUUCUGGUGAUUCUCUCUGCUCGCCCACAGCAGGUUAGAUGAAGGGGUUAAUAAGGUAUUAUUUCCCCACAAAAGUCCUGACGGUGCAUUUCCUCGCAGCUUGCCUGCCAGGCUUGGCCUAGCUCUGUGGAUCAAAGGCUGGUUAUCACUAAUAUUGAGCUGUUGUAACCUCUGUCCCCUUUGAUUAAAGUGGCGCUGCUGUGAAUUUCUCAGUUAAUCACGCCUUGGCUCACGGGGUCAGCUUGCAACUUGGCAAGUUCAGAAAACUACAGCGGAGGAGAGAAAGGUAAAAUGUAUUAUGCAAAUGUGAUUAUGAUUGAGUCUGACUCCGCCCGGCCCAGGCCUUGUGCUGCUGGAGAGGCUGGAGGCAGAAGAGGAAACAGCCUGUCCUACAACAAGAGGGACUGGGCAGUGGAAAAGCGGAGGCUCCUUUCUUCUCCCCUGAACUUUCCACACCACUGGGUCUGGUUCUGCUAAGGAAGCCUCUGGCAUGGCUUCAGGGGAAUGUUCAGGAACCAUUUUGAUGAAUUCCAAUUAAGAGUCUUCCUGACACCCAGGGACAUAGAGGUCAAAGAAUGCCCUGUGCAGCACAGCAACAGACCACAGGGUGCACAGCUCAAGGUAAGAAAGUGGCAUAACGGUAAAACAGAACAGAAAAUUCCUGAAGACAUGAAAGGGCUCUGAAUGUGGAAGAAUCUUCAAGUGAAUUGUUCAGCUAAGAUUUCUGCCUAAAACCCAAAAGAACUUGAUUCUUGUAUCCUCAUGGAGAAAAUAAUGGAAUGACAAUAAUGCUUUGCAUUAUUACAUAGUGAUUAAUCUGGAAUGUAAGGUUUGCGGAGUCGGUCUCUCUGUUUAGCAGGGCACAAGUAACUUGUCAUACCAAUACUGUAGCAUUAACUGAGCUAAACUGGAGCUCUCCAGUGAGUCUGAGGGACUUAACCUCAAUGUAAAUAACUAUCCAUCUGGCUGUACAGUUGAGAAAAGAUGGUGACCUUGGACAGAAAGGUAAAAUGUACUUGCUAGAGCUGAGAGCCAUGGAUGCUUACAUAAACAAGUUGGUAGGUAUCAGUAUUGUGCAUUAUCAAAUACUGGGGGUGCACUGGAAUUCACAGCAGAGACCACUGUGAGUAGUAGGUUACUACUCUGGGAGCUCAGAGAGCAGCAUGAAGGGGCUGUUUCUCACCAUCUUUAUUCCAGGAACAUAAACUUAUCCAUGGAGGAGGUAUGGAUCAUGGUCACAAAACAGUGAUGAGUAAUGCUUUUGUUUUCAGACUGUUUCCAUCCCUCCUUCUAAUGACUGUGUUAUUCUCUCUUUGACCUCUUCAGUCUGGGCUGUAUUUUAGGUGACUUGUUCACCAUGAUUCCCAAAUGCUCUGGUGUCUCUGUCUCUUCUGAGGAAACAGUUGAUAUCUGUUCCCAGUCUGACUUUGUGAAGGCAAACAGAUCUCAGAGAAAAUAAAAAUAUUAAUGAUUUUUUGCUUUCA